GUUUUUGAAAAUCUGCUCAAAAUUGAAAAAAGGGGGGGUUCCAUUAUACAAUCUUUCAAAAUCAUGCCAUCAUUGCUUGCAUAAGAUAAUUUUUUCCACACUAUUCCUCCCAGGCACAUUACAUCAUCUUCUCAGUGGGAGUCUUUUUUUUUUUCUAGUAAAAAUGGGGUAGGGGGAGGAAGGGACAAGCCCACCCCCGCGUAGCAACCCCCACUGGGCCCCCGCCCCACAAGGAGAAUGUUCGAUGCGGGCAGAAAUGGCCAUGUGUUGGGCACCCCGACCGGUUUUACUCAUGCCUUC
rnacentral:lncRNA from 1 species